GCUCCCCCUCUCGCCUGGCCGGUGUUUGCUCUGAAGGGUGAAGAAGGAAGCGGCCGAGACGGCGGGGCCGGACCAUGGUGCCCUGCACAGGCUGGAAGUGAAGGCCAGGAGGGCUUGGUAGCUUCCCCGCGAAAAUAAUAUUGGAAUCAUUAUUCCCGGUCCUUGACUAUAGAGAAUGUGACCCAGCUGGAGCUGGGCCCACAGGGACUCACAAGGACACAUCAACUGGGCCCUGAGAGCCUCUUCACAGUUCCCAAAGAAAUCCCAGGUGUCGUAGAAAGCUGUCGUCGAUGACUAUGAAGAGCAGACCAUCAGCCAGCAGUUUUAUUUGGCUGACUCCAUAAACAGCUGUAAAAACUAACUUCCUCCUGCCUAAACUCUCCGAAUCCAUGGCACCUGACACCGCCUCCUCUGGUGUAUCAGCUGACUGCAGCAGAAUCCCCAGCCCUCCAGCAGCACUAGACGACGAGACAGAAUUUGGUACCGAGAGAGUGGGGUGCUGCUCUGACAGAUACCUAAUAUGCGGAAGCAGUUUUGAAACCGUGAAUGGAUAGAGGAGCGACAGCGGCAGAGAACCAGCACAGCAGAGAAGCGGCAACAGCAGAGAACCAGAAGCAGCAGAACCAGGAGACCUGCGCAAGACUGUGCUGGAGCCGACCCACGGAGUGAGAGAGCUGAGUGCCUGUGCGCAGGAGGCUUCCUGACAGAGUGGGGUGCCUCCGGGCACUUAUCGGUGGACCUACUGGGCUUUGGAACACUUGCCCCAGCAGGGCAGGUGUCGAUGGGAGGCAGGUGUGAGGCCCAAGGAGCCCAGAGGCCAAGAAACCAGGAAGCAGAAGCUGAGGAAAACACAAGCAGCUGAGCUGCCUCAGUCUUGAAAGGUAUGGGCAGGACCUCAGGUGUUUCAAAGGGUGGAGCCAUGGCCUCUGGUGUUUCUAAGGGUGGAACCAUGGCCUCUGGUGUUUCUAAGGGUGGAGCUGCCACUCAGAUGGACUGGGAGAAUGGUGCCCCUAAAGCCAGGGAGCAGAGUUGCUGUCCCAAUGAGCCUGGAAGGCAGAGCUGAAGCCCAGGGCCAAGGGGCCUCCACUCAGAAUCCAGAGACUGUGGCCAAUACCUAGAGGCUGGAGGGAAGGGUUAUUGGGUAAAUUGUUUCAGAGGACUGAGGAUUAUUUUCAAAGCUUUGAGGGCUAAUGUAAUGUGUUCUGCUGACUUGCUUGGUGUCUGUUAUUCCUUCUUUCCCCUCAGUUUCUCCCAUUUGUAAUGGAAAUGUCUAGCUUGUCCCUGUUCCACCAUUGUACCAUUGGAAGCAGAUAACUUGCAUUCUAGAUAUCACAGAUGAAGAGGAAUUUUUGGAUUUGGGACUUGGAGUUAAGACUUUUGCUAUGAUAUGACGGGUGAAUAUGUUUUGCAUGUUACAAGGAUGUGAUUUUUGGGGGGCCAAAGGGUGGAAUGUCAUGGAUUGAAUUGUGUCCCCCCAAAAAUGUGUGUAUCAACUUGGUUAGACCAUGAUUCCCAGUAUUGUGUGAGUGUCCUCCAUUUUGUGAUUGUAAUUUUAUGUUGAGGGGAUUAGGGUGGGAUGUAACACCACCCUCACUCAGGUCACCUCCCUGAUCCAAUGUAAAGGGAGUUUCCCUGGGGUGUGGCCUGCACCACCUUUUUUUCUCUCAAGAGAUUAAAGGAAAGGGAAGCAAGCAGAGAGUUGGGGGACCUCAUACCACCAAGAAAGCAGCACCAGGAGCAGAACGUGUCCUUUGGACCUGAGUUCCCUGUGCCUGAGGAGCUCCCCGACUGUGGAAAGACUGAUGACAACGACCUUCCUCCAGAGCCGCCAGAGAGGGAAAGCCAUCCCCUGGAGCUGACCCUGAAUUUGGACUUGUAAUGUACUAGACUGUGAGAGAAUAAAUUUCUCUUUGGUAAAGCCAUCCACUUGUGGUAUUUCUGUUAUAGCAGCACUAGAUGACUAAAGCACUAGGCUUAAUGCUGCAGAUACAAAAUGACCAAGAUAAAAAUGCCUGAAAUCAUAACUGGGAGAAAUACUAAAUUAUCAUUAGAGAUUAGUGAAAACAAAUAGCUAUGUUUUUAUCCAUUCAAGUUUAUAGUUCCCCUGAAUUCUAAUCAUAUACCCAGAUUAGAAACCCAUUAGAGAAGAGUAUUGAUGCCCAGGCCAUACAAAUGAAUGCGAUCAACCCAAAGAGAGGGUAGAGAGAGAAAGCUACGCACAACCAUACCUCAAGGAACUCUACGUUUAGAGUUUUGAUAAAGAAGGCUUGUCCAGCAAAAAUCAAGUGGCCAGGGAGGUAGGAAAACCAGGAGGGUGUGAUGUCCUGGAAGCCAAGGGAAGUGAGUUUUUCAAGGCAGGGGAAGUAGCCAACAAUGAUAAAUACUGCUGAAUGUCUGUGACAGAUAAGGACUGAAAACAAAGUUAAAUUGGGUUUAAUAAUAGAAAGGUGACUAGUGAUCUAGACAAAAGCAGUGUUUGAGUGGAAAAGUGGAGACAGAGGCCAGAUUUCAGUGGGUCGAAGAGUAGUUGAGAACUGAGGAAGUAAAGUCAGCUGGUGUAGGCAAUUCUUUAAAGUUUGAUCUCAAAGAGGGAAAAGAUAGAAUGGUUGCUAGAGAGGGAUGUGAGGUCGAGGGAGGACAUGUUGUAAGACGGGAAUCAUCAGUUGUCAUCAAGUCGACCCUGACUCAUGGGGACCUCAUGUGUGUCAGAGUAGAACUGUGCUCCCUAGGGUUUUCAGUGGUUGGUUUUUUGGAAGUAGAUCACCAGGCCUUUCUUCCACAACACCUCUGGUGGACUGGAACGUCUAACCAUUUGGUUAACAACCAAGCACAUUAACUGUUAGCACCACACAGGGACUCUAAAGAUGGGAAAGACCAGCUCAAUUAAAAGUUGACAGGAAAGAACUAGUAUGGGGGAAGAUAUUGAAGCCACGGAAAAGAGUAGGAUAAGUAAUGGAGGCAAGCUCCUUAGUGGGCAGGAAAGAAUAGUCAGGAUAUCAAUGGAGGGCUUUAGGAUCCCCUUCCCCAAGGAAAGGAGUGCAGAUGAAAAGGUGGGGAUCCAUAUAGAUCCAUUCAAGAUGGGAUGGGGUGGGAAUGAGGGUGUUGGGGAAGAAUUUGAAGAAUUUCUGAUGGCCUCUAUUCUCCUGGUAAAUUAAGAGGUGAAAUCACCCUUUAAAAGGGGCGGGUGAGGGUGAAGAGGUUUGAGGACAGUGGGGAAGGUAUGAAAUAGAAGCUGUAGAGAAUGGAAAGACUGAAGAAACUCGAAAAUGAAAAGCUAUCUGAUAUGACAUGGUUGAGAAUUUUGCCCUUUCUCUGGCUAAUGAGAAAAAAUUUCCCUUAAUAAUAAAGACAUUUCUAUGAGUUUAUUAAGUUAAAAAAUGUAUCAUUAUAAUGAAUAGUACUUGGGAAGUAGGAUGCUAAUAAGGGUGGCUUCAAGUUGCUGAAGACAUUUUCCCUGACAAACAGACUCUGUGAUAUACGACAAACAUACCAACACAACAUGUUUAAGGAGCCGACUCAUCUCAGAGCUCUGAAGCUUAGGCCCCUAAAGCAGAAGAACCGUGAAACCCUUGGCUUGGUCCCUGCUCCUGUCUCCGUUUGUUCAGCCUGUCCUCUGCCUGUCCUAGUUUUAGCAUCACGUGUGAACAAGGGCACCCUACUUAUAGAACAUUUCCCCUGGAGAGGUGUGUGUAGUUAGAGGGUCCUAUGCAGAUGGGGAAAGCAGAGUGCAUCCCUCCAAAGGAGCUGGCUCUGUCAGUUUUCCAUUCUAUCACCAUGGACUACUAGUAAGUUGUUACCAAAUAUUUACUGAGAGCCUCCCAUGUGCCAUUGGGACUUCAGUGGUAAAGACAACUGAGUGGGGAAGACAUACAUUAAGCAAAAACAAGCUGUUUGGACUCAAGAGAGUCAGGAAAUGCUUCCCUGAGGAAGCAAUACUUGGGCUAAGGUCCAAAAGACGAAUAGGAGUGAAUUAUGAGAAAAAGAAAGAGAAGACUGUGCUAGGCAGAGGAAGCACAUGUGCAAAGCCCCUAUGGUGGGAGGGUGAGUGGCAAGUUAGAGAAACCAAAAGAAGCUAGGAUAAGUAUAGAGAAGUGGAGACGGAGGGAAAGAGAUGAGGCUAAAGAAGUGUCUUAGUCAUCUAGUGCUGCUAUAAUGGAAAUACCACAAGUGAAUUUAAUAAAGAGAAGUUUAUUUCCUCAUAGUAAAGGAGGCUAAAAGUACGAAUUCAGGGCAUCAGCUCCAGGGGAAGUCUUUAUUUCUCUCACAGCCUUCUUAUCAGUCUUCCCCCAGAUUAGGAGCUUCUUCGCUCAGAACCCUGGGUCCAAAGGAUGUGCUUUGCUCUGGGCA